GACGGAGGGUGCGAGCGUUGUUCGGAUUGACCGGGCGUAAAGGGCGUGUGGGCGGUUGGUCAAGUCUGAUGUGAAAGCCCGGAGCUCAGCUCCGGAAGGGCAUCAGAAACUAACCAGCUGGAGCGCGAUAGAGGAGGGCGGAAUUCCUGGUGUAGCGGUGAAAUGCGUAGAUAUCAGGAGGAACACCGGCGGCGAAGGCGGCCCUCUGGCUCGUUGCUGACGCUGAGACGCGAAAGCGUGGGGAG
rnacentral:rRNA from 1 species